rnacentral:rRNA from 1 species
CAGUCGCCACGGUAAUACAGAGGGUGCGAGCGUUAAUCGGAUUUACUGGGCGUAAAGCGUGCGUAGGUGGUGGUUUAAGUCCGUUGUGAAAGCCCUGGGCUCAACCUGGGAAUUGCAGUGGAUACUGGGUCACUAGAGUGUGGUAGAGGAUAGUGGAAUUUCCGGUGUAGCAGUGAAAUGCGUAGAGAUCGGAAGGAACAUCUGUGGCGAAGGCGACUAUCUGGGCCAACACUGACACUGAGGCACGAAAGCGUGGGGAGCAAACAGGAUUAGAUACCCCUGUAGUCCCUGUCUCUUAUAC